CAGGUUCCCCUGAAGGAUGCCUGAGUUUCGAUGACCCUAGAGGAAGUGGACAAGAGGAGGCAAGAUCCUUGAGAGACUCCAGCUGUAGGUCCUGAUUCAGUUGCGGAGCACAGAAGGGUCCUUUUGUCCGAGUAGGGAAACGGGUCAGAUUAUGCCAGGGGCAUUUCCGUGGUCAGGAGCUGAAGACGGACCAGGCCUGUGGAAAAGUAUGGUUGUCAUCACGAGGAAAGCAAACAAACACAGACUCUUAAGGCUAGAGAGUCUCUCCAUCUUGCCUCGGAACUGCCUUGUAUCUCUUACCUGGA